AAGAAUAUAUUCCAGAAAGUUACUUUUUUCCCUCAGCUUUUUGUUUAAGUAAUCUUUGCACCCAUUGUGGGGCUCGAACACAUGAUCCUGAAAUCAAGAGUCAGAUGUUCUUCAAACUGAGCCAGCCAAGCCCCCACCCUGGAAAGUUCUUUAAAAGAUAGAGAAUAAGAGAGAAAAGAUAAGGAAAGUACAUGAUUAACGAGGCAUAGCACCUGACAGAUGUGCCAGGGAGGAGGCUAGAGAUGGUAUCGGAAGCUCCCUCAGGAAGGCUUACAGAGCCCAAGGACUGCGUCUCUGUUUGAAAGGGCUCUUCCUGUGGUCAGAACAGGGAGGAAGUACCCCCAGCAGACAGGCAAUUCCCGCCGAUACAGAGGUUCUCCACAGCUUCCAGGGAUUAAAACAGACCUCACACAGGGCAUUAGGACUGGAUGGUGGCAGGCACUGUGGCACCUGCAGGACUGAGCGGAAGCAGGGCACUGACCCCUCUGGCACCAGGGAGCUGGAUUUCCCACCUGCAGCUCUGUGCAUGGGCACCUGUCUCGUGGAGGGAAGAGUGCAAGGUGUUGCAGGCAAGAAGGGUCCCAGGUGCAUGCUGUACACCCCGUCUCAGGAGCUACAGCCGUUUCUCUGAGAGGAGGGGGCACCGAGACAGGAGGAUGCACAGGAAGCUCCUGGGGGCAUCGUGGGAAACACCUAGGGGUCAGGUCAUGGUGGGGAGGGUUUGAAGGGGUGUGCAGUCCUGUGGAGGGUUAGAGCAAUAGGGAUGCAGAAAGUAAAGGCAACAAAAAGCAAGAGAAUUCUUAAGUAUGGAAAAAGUGUACAAGAAAGGUGGUCCUGUAGUUUAAAUGAGCAACAGCAAAAAAUAUUUAUGUAGUCAAUGAUGUAAACACGGCAGAAGACCUAGGCAAGCUCGGAAGCGGGGACACUGAAUUCUCAUAUUUUUCCAUAGGAGGCCAAAACACAGCAUGUAAAUUUUGAAAAGCCAAGAAAUAGCACCAGAAGCAUAUUAAUUAGAUAUGGAGGCAAUGAUCCCUCCCAAACUACCCAAAGUUAGAAAGAAGGGCUUCAGGGAGCAGGGUGGGGGUGGGCGAGCAUGUUCCAGGCCUUACUGUGCUGUAACAUUUUGCACCGUGUGCCGGUAUUUGAUAACUGAACUUUCUCUCGGGUCUCUGUUGGGCCAUGAGUUGAGGGAUGUCUGGGUUCUCUGUUGAGUGCAGCGAGGUGAGGGGGUCGGUUGGAGGCUGGAGCAGUGUUCUGUGAUCUGAACUUGGGUAGCUUUCCAGAGAAGAGCCGUGGAGGGGACCUUUUCCCAGCCCCUUGGAGGGGGCCUCAGGGCCAGGAGAGUCCUAGCAAGAGCUACUUCUCUUCCAUUUCUCUGGUCCCCCUGACUCUCCUGACGACAGACCUGAAAUGGAGAAAUGCCUUGCUCUUUCCUCUGAUUAAUGUGGUUACGUACAAGUCAAAUGUAUGUGUUCUUUAGUUAUUUUUAUGAAGUCUGUGUUAUUUCCUCAGUAUGUUUGCAUAAAACUUGAAUGUAUGCCCUUGACUUUUUGGAGUAUUCUCAUGUACAUUUUGAGAUUUUAUUGUCUUUAAAAUAACAUGGAGAUAGCUCUGUGAAUAUACUAGAAAACACUGAGCUGUGCUCUGUAAAUGUGUGAAUUGUAUGGUAUGUGAACUGUGUCUCCAUAAAGGUAUUAACAGAAAUAACACAGAGUCAGAACUGGCGCGCCCCUGAGCAUUGGGAGUCUGCCCCAGACCUGGGCCUCCUGCCGGCCUCCCUGCCUCGCCUCCCCUCCCACACCAAGGAAAGCUUCAGAGUGGAUGGUGAACUUGUUAGGAGAGUUGCGAUCUGCCAAAAUCCCAGUGAUGACAGAUGUAAAGAAGGCAGCUUCUGGGUGCUGGAGACAACCCACGCCCCUGACCCAAAGCAUGUCAGGAGGAGUGAGCCAGUCAUGGCUACAGCUGGGUGCGGGCAAGCUCCUGUUGAUGAGGGGCACGGCUGGUGACCUUUGGCACCUAUUUCUGAAAGACAGGGAUUCCUGAAUGUGAUACACGCCUCUUGGGGGACAUAUAGAAUGACCUUUAACAUGUAAGACCAACAUGAUGCCUUUAUUGUAGAAUUUUCUAAGCCUUCCCCAUGAAACUAGGGAUGAUUAAUAUGCCCAUCAUCACAGAUCUAGGAAGGUGUUCUUUUACUUCAAGUGGAAAAACUGGGCUCCAGAGCUCCCGGCUGGUUUAGUCAGUGGAGCCUGGAAAGUGUGAGCCCCACCCCCGCUGUGUGUGGAGAUUACUUAAGAGUAAAAUCUUAAAAAAAUAAAUAAAUAAAAUCUUUUUAAAAAUAAAGAAAAAGAAAAACUGAGCUCCAAAUGAGCACAUUCAGUGUUGGAAAAUUUAUCGUAUUCAAACUGUCUUAAUUUCAAAUUUAAGUUUAGAAGUAAACCUACGUUGCCUUCUAAGUUGCCCCAAAUUAGACAUUCGAUUUACUGAAAUGACUUCAUUUUUCCCCAGCCGGACACAGUAAUUCCAAAGCGAUUUAGGUGUUAGGGCGACAGCACGUCUUUAUCUUAUGUUCACACACCUGGCUGAUUUUUUUUAAAAAGUAAGUGUUCCUUCUCACCUGGAGAAAUCUGUGAACAGGGUCUUCAAGUAUAAAUUGCCAAGCAUAAUCCCUGAAAAAGUUACUUGAUAUAAUAGUUGGUGCAAAGCAGACCUACUAGGGUUAAAAAGUCCUCUGUGGUGCUCUGCAUCCAAGAUCCCAAAGCCCUGAUGUGACACUGUCCUGUAGGCUUAGGGAGUGUAACAUAUGGGAAGCUCUCUCUCAUUUCGUUGGUUCUCUAGACAAGGAGGAAGAGAAGGAAGCUGGAAUCAUCUGUUAUUUGUGCCUCGCUUUCAAAGGCUCUACGAACAAAGUUGUGACAUUUCUUCUUAUUUAUUUAUUUUUCUGGUCUCAGAACUCAAACCAGUGCCCACUCUGGUUGAGCACACAGCUUUUUCAGCUUUUAUUGUAUUAAGUGUGUCACUGUAGUGAUUUAUCAAGCAUCUUUACACUUCUAAGAUUCCUUCAGUUAUCUCCAGUAAAAUGAACCAACCAGCAAAAUCCCCCUACUCAAGUGCAUAUCUGUACUCUUCAUGAUUACUGAUAUCAAGAGUUUUAGCUUCUUCGGAGUUUAAGCUAGAAUAAAUGACUCAUUGAUUCCUGGUGCUUGUGGGAUUUGAAACUUAUUUCCAGGGGGAUGUUACAGAAAGAAUUUUUACUAGUGAUUUGGCUGUGUGUGACAUACCUAAACCUAUCAGUAGAAGUUGUUUUCUGUGAUGGAGGGGAACAGGGAACAGUGUUACUGUGUAUGGGCACUGUCUGCUUGUGCCUCCUCUGUGCAUCUGUCCACAACUCUUCUCGUGGGUCUGUCUUUAUUUUUUAAAAAGAUAUAUACAUUCAUUAAAAAUCUGAAGAUAGUUAACAAUUUAUUGAAGUCAGAAAAAGAAAUACAUAAAAUUUAGAAAGGUGGAAUUAGGUUUCACAGGAUUUAGAAAGAAUUCCUUAUAAAAGGUUUUAAUAUUACAUUCCUUGUCAAACUGGGACUUGGAGGGCUUUUGGUAUUUCACCCCUGACUGCCUGCCUUGAUGAGUCAGUCAGCAGAGGCACAUGAAAUUGUGGAUAGACAGGAGAUGCAUAUUCACUCUUAUCCAAAUGUAGCAAAAAGCACCAUGUUUCCUACUAAAUAGAAUUUGUAGUUUCUUCCCCAAUUCUUUAGAGCAAUAAGCCUUGGGAAUGGGUCUGUCUUUAAAUUUUUAUUUUUAUUUAUUUUUGAGAGAGAG